GACGAACGCUGGCGGCGUGCCUAAUACAUGCAAGUUGAGCGAUGAAGAUUGGUGCUUGCACCAAUUUGAAGAGCAGCGAACGGGUGAGUAACGCGUGGGGAAUCUGCCUUUGAGCGGGGGACAACAUUUGGAAACGAAUGCUAAUACCGCAUAACAACUUUAAACAUAAGUUUUAAGUUUGAAAGAUGCAAUUGCAUCACUCAAAGAUGAUCCCGCGUUGUAUUAGCUAGUUGGUGAGGUAAAGGCUCACCAAGGCGAUGAUACAUAGCCGACCUGAGAGGGUGAUCGGCCACAUUGGGACUGAGACACGGCCCAAACUCCUACGGGAGGCAGCAGUAGGGAAUCUUCGGCAAUGGACGAAAGUCUGACCGAGCAACGCCGUGUGAGUGAAGAAGGUUUUCGGAUCGUAAAACUCUGUUGGUAGAGAAGAACGUUGGUGAGAGUGGAAAGCUCAUCAAGUGACGGUAACUACCCAGAAAGGGACGGCUAACUACGUG
rnacentral:rRNA from 1 species